UACGUAGGGACCAAGCGUUGUCCGGAAUUAUUGGGCGUAAAGAGCGUGUAGGCGGCUUGUCAAGUCCGGUGUGAAAUGUCGGGGCUUAACCCCGGAACUGCAUUGGAAACUGGCUUGCUUGAGUCCGGAAGAGGAGACUGGAAUUCCUGGUGUAGCGGUGAAAUGCGCAGAUAUCAGGAAGAACACCCGUGGCGAAGGCGGGUCUCUGGGACGGUACUGACGCUGAGACGCGAAAGCGUGGGGAGCAAACAGG
rnacentral:rRNA from 1 species